rnacentral:lncRNA from 1 species
UUGACUCGGCUAUUCUUCCAUGCUAAGGAAGAACGCCGUUUGAGCCUUCAGACAUGGCCUUCUUUCUGUCAAUAAAAUACUAAUUCACUGAGGAAAUUGUUGAUUGUUUGUGAAUGUUUAUCUUUUCAUGUUUCAGGCAGUAAUUUGUUGGCGUUUAAUCUAAAAUUUUUGUAAAUUUCAAGGAUAUAUGAAUCAAUUUCCUCAAAAAUACCUCCUUUACCCGGGAGAAUUUGGCAGCCUGCGAGGGUUCUUACGGCGUUCUUUCUUAGCACGUCAGCUUUGCGGCCUUUGUCAUGGUGUUUGGGAGAAGUUUAACCUCCGACAUGACAGGAAAAGUUUCCAAUUCCAAGUUUUGAUUUUCACUCCAAUUUUGUGGGAUUUCGAGCUCCGUAUGCUUCAUGGACGUGUCACCUAAACUAUACGAUAACUAUUAACCCUCAAAACUCUUCGGGUGUCAUUCAGCACUAAAAGGUGAGUUUAGUUGUUAAUUGAAUACAUUCUAAUGCUCAUUGGCUGAUUGAUUAGCUUUUAAUUUAAUUUAAAUUACUGACCAAUCUUCUCAACUAAAUCUUUUAUUUUAAUUGUCAUGGUAACUCGUGUGUUGCUUCCAGAAUAUGUUCUUCGGUCGAUAAAUUGGUGAAAUUGCGAAGUCCGUGGCAACUCCGCUUCAGGGGGAGUAAUUGAACGGUUGAUGCCUGUGCGUCGCAUCAAUAACAGCGUCCAAAAUUGGGUCAAAGUAGGCUGAUGAAAAAUUGAUGCUCUGGAAUUAAAGGUGUAAUGAAUUACAUACGGAUAAUCUCUUUGUUUUUGUGUAUGCUUUGGAUUUAAGCUGGGCAAUUUAUGACGUAAUGCUGAUCAAAGGCCCGCCUUUGUGUUUUUGUGCAGACUGCACGAGCCAAAAAAUGUUGAUAUAUGCUGAAAAUUUUCUCAUUUCAUCUUUCUAUUCAAGCACCACAUAUUUUAAUUUCAAGAGUCCAGGUUGCACGCGUGUGUCCAAUGACAAUUUUUUCAAUCUGGCAACGUGUUGUUUUUUUUCCCGUUGAAUUUUUUUUAAAUAUUGAAUUGAAAUAUCAAUAAAAUUGAUUGUUUUCCAUACUUUAAAAGCAACGAAAUCCAGCGCAGCGGUGCCAAUUUCGAGGUUUACCACGGCAUAGGUCGCAGUUAAAAAGUAAAAUCAGAUAUUUUGUCCAAAGAACUGGCAGUCGGUUUAAAUUUGAAGAGUAACGUAGUUUUUCAUAGUUUUGACGCAGAGCUUUCA